UGUGAUGUUAAUUUUCAUCAUCAAAUAAUUUACAAUUAUUUAAUAACUAUAAUUAUCAUUACUUUGUACAUAGUUGAAAAUUUAGGUUUUUAAAUUCAUAAUUUUAUUGAGCAAUUGAUAUGGAUUAUUUGAUUUUAUUUUUAAAACAUAUUUUAGAUUUAUUUAUAUUUUAAUUCCAUUUAAUAAUUAUAUUUAUUUAUUUAAGCAUGUCGUUUAAUUUUGAAAUAAUCCUCAUUGGGCUUAUGUCCGGGGCUGUUUUCAUAUUAAGGGCGGGAGUGACUUUGCUUUUGAAGCAGAAUUGUUAGCUAUCAUUAUUGCCAUCAAUAUUGAUCUGAUCAUGAUCAUGAUUGGUUGCAUCUUUGGGUUGAAGCGGAUUCUAUGUAUGUGGUGCAACUUCUGGAAUCUCGUUCCAAGGAUGUUCCUUGGCGUUUUAUGGCUUAUUGGAUGCAUACUCUUCGGCUUCUUCAGGACUUUAAUUUGAUGGUUACCCAUAUUUAUAGAGAGGGUAAUAAGCCGGGUGAUAUUAUGGCUAAUGGGGAGAGGCAGGAAGGCUGGUGGCCUUUUGCCAUUGAGGAGAUUCGUCAUGCGGUUGCUCAGGAUAUGUCAACUCAUAGUCAUGUUAGAGUUGUUCAUUAAUUGUGGGUUGGUGUGUUUGAGUCCCGCGGCAUGUUCGAUUUUUUAGGCUAAGUUGGGUCUGAUGCCGGUUAGUCGUUUGUUGGAUGGUCGGUGUUUUUGUCUUUCUUUACGUUUCGUCUUUUGGUUUUUUCAUUGGUCUUUGUUAUGGGAGAAGAGAGCCGGGAUUUCUUUAGGGCGAUGGUUCGGCCGGAGCUCUAGAAGUUAUCUCAACUCAGCUUUCUUGCCCAUCUAUUUCGUUCUUUUCUUUGUAGGCGAGUACUCUUUUUCUUCCCUCUUUGGGAGAUUUGAAUGAGGCUCGGCCCUUAGUCUGCUCUCCUAUGCUGUCAAGGGUUGUCUAGGUUCCUUUUUCCCUUUUUUUUUUAAUAAAACCGUAUUUUAAUAAUAAUUUCGAUAUUCGUCGUGCAUCGCACUGAUGGGUGUACUAAUUUUGAUAAUAUAUUAAUAGGGGUAAAGUGAUUGGUAGAACAUGCAGCACAGCGUGACUGAUGAUGGCAUGGGUUCGAUUUAUGGCGAAACUACUCAAUGACAUAAGUUAAUUUAUAUUUAAAAAGUAUUAGUAUAUGACAUACUUUUAUUUAUAUAUUUAUUUUAAUUCUAAUACCUCAUAAAUUGUUAGUGAUAUUAUUAAUUUUAUAGAUUAUAUAAAAAUUAAAAUUUGAUUAUUUUUUAUUAAUUAUUUAAAAUUAAAAGAAAAUAAACAAAUCAAACAUUGAUAGUUGAUAUUUAAGAUGAUCGCAUAAAAUCAACUCAAUGACAAUAGUCACUUUAUGAAAUCAUCAAAUUUAUUCACUUUAGACGUAUAUGAUAUCAUUCAAGUUUUAUACCAAAUACAAACUAUACAAGUAAAAGGCUUAAUUUAUGAAAAACCAUUCAAAUUAAAAACUGAGUUGUAAAACAUUCAAAAAAAAAAAAAAAAAACUACAUGAGUAGUAAAAUCUAAAUUUCGAAUCUCUGUAAAUUUGGAAAAAGGUAUAACCUAGUUAAGGUAACUUUAUGGAUCUUCCCGCCAGAAAAAAAAAAAGAAAAAAAAUUAUGGAUGUUCCAAAUAAAGAUGAAGACAAUAAUGAAGGGCACCUUAUUGUUGCAAUUUUAAACUGGAACGACCUAUAAGGUGUCGACACGUAGAAAAUCCCAACACCUUAGACCAAUAAUUCAUCUUUUUCCCUUAAGAAAACCUGGAAAAAGCAAACUUUUAUGCUGGACAAGACAAAAUGGGCCCAUUGCUUUAGCAAGAUUGCAAAGUGCAAACUCUGGAUUUUGCACGUUCAAUUCGGCCUAAAUUAAAUAAAUAAAAUUGGCGCAACUUUGCAAGUAAUUUGCUGCUUUUAACCUUCUAAAUGGGUCCAUAAUUUCCUAUUUAAUAAGUCUAAAAGGUUAAUGAUAUGUAGAUUGCAUAAUUAUCUUUAAAAUGUUUUUUUCUCUUAUUAUUUUAUUUACUUUUCGGUUAAUAUAUACUAGUAUAAGUUUUUUUUUACUGACCUUUUUUUUU
rnacentral:lncRNA from 1 species